CAAUAGCGUAUAUUAAAGUUGUUGCAGUUAAAAGCUCGUAGUUGAAUUUCUAGUCAACCGUUAGCUGGCUUCACAGUCGUUAACGAUUGCCUAUCCGACAUUGAACUGUAAUGGUUAUUAAGUUAACCUUAUAGCGAACUGUCAUUUUACUUUGAAAAAUUAGAGUGUUUCAGGCAGGCAAUUGCCCGAAUAUCUUAGCAUGGAAUAAUGGAAUAGGACUUUGGUUCAUUUGAUUGGUUAUUGAAUCAGAGUAAUGAUUAAUAGGGACAGUUGGGGGCAUCCGUAUUUCGUUGUCAGAGGUGAAAUUCUUGGAUUUACGAAAGACGAACAACUGCGAAAGCACUUGCCAAGAGUGUUUUCAUUAAUCAAGAACGAAAGUUAGAGGAUCGAAGACGAUUAGAU
rnacentral:rRNA from 1 species